rnacentral:tRNA from 1 species
GGCCCCUUCGUCUAUCGGCUAGGACGGUAGGUUCUCAUCCUACAAAGAGCAGUUCGAUUCUGCUAGGGGUCA